AUUGAACGCUGGCGGCAGGCCUAACACAUGCAAGUCGAACGAGUGGCGGACGGGUGAGUAAUGGUUGGGAAAAUGAAUGAUGGAGGGGGAUCACUACUGGUAACGGUAGCUAAUACCGCAUACCAUAAGAUGAGCCCAGAUGGGAUUCGCUUGUUGGUGGGGUAAGGGCUCACCAAGGCGACGAUCCCUAGCUGGUCUGAGAGGAGGACCAGCCACACUGGAACUGAGACACGGUCCAGACUCCUACGGGAGGCAGCAGUGGGGAAUAUUGCGCAAUGGGGGCAAGCCGGAUGCAGCCAUGCCGCGUGUAUGAAGAAGGCCUUCGGGUUGUAAAGUUCUUUCGGCAGGGAGGCGUUACCCGCAGAAGAAGCACCGGCUAACUCCGUGCCAGCAGCCGCGGUAAUUC
rnacentral:rRNA from 1 species